rnacentral:lncRNA from 1 species
CGGCGACCCCGAGCCCGGUCCGGCCAGUUCAGCACACGCUUCCUACUGAGCGCAAGUCGAGGGGUGGCCUGUGAACUUCGCUAGUAAAUAGAAAACGUUUAAAGCUUGGUUGUCCUUAUUUGGGCAAGUUUAAGUGAAUAAUGAUAAAGACACACUUCUAAUGUCAAAAUCAGUACUUUAAAAAGUUCGUGUUAACUACACCUCC